rnacentral:rRNA from 1 species
AUACGUAGGGGGCAAGCGUUGUCCGGAUUUACUGGGUGUAAAGGGUGCUCAGGCGGGUUUGUAAGUCAGUGGUGAAAUCCCGGAGCUUAACUCCGGAACUGCCAAUGAUACUGCAAGUCUAGAGAUCGGGAGAGGUUGAUGGAAUAUCUGGUGUAGCAGUGAAAUGCGUAGAUAUCAGAUAGAACACCAAUGGCGAAGGCAGUCAACUGGCCCGAUUCUGACGCUAAAGCACGAAAGU